GAGUUUGAUCUUGGCUCAGAUUGAACGCUGGCGGCAUGCCUUACACAUGCAAGUCGAACGGCAGCAUGAUCUAGCUUGCUAGAUUGAUGGCGAGUGGCGAACGGGUGAGUAAUACAUCGGAACGUGCCCUGUAGUGGGGGAUAACUAGUCGAAAGAUUAGCUAAUACCGCAUACGACCUGAGGGUGAAAGUGGGGGACCGCAAGGCCUCAUGCUAUAGGAGCGGCCGAUGUCUGAUUAGCUAGUUGGUGGGGUAAAGGCCCACCAAGGCGACGAUCAGUAGCUGGUCUGAGAGGACGAUCAGCCACACUGGGACUGAGACACGGCCCAGACUCCUACGGGAGGCAGCAGUGGGAAUUUGGACAAUGGGCGAAAGCCUGAUCCAGCAAUGCCGCGUGUGUGAAGAA
rnacentral:rRNA from 1 species